rnacentral:lncRNA from 1 species
CAGAGCAAGAGUGAGGUGAUGGGCAGCUAAGUGUCUUGGUCUAUAUCCCCUGCUAGAGCUGACUUGAAAAUGGUCUGUUUCCAGAAGGGUUCGUUGGUGACUUCUCAGGAGGCCUGUAGAGUACGCACUGCAAAGAUUCAUGUUGAGCAGCCACAGAGAGUGGGACUUUGCUUCCCUGGUAAGGAGGCAGACUCACACCCUGUCCUCAUCCUGUCAGGAAGUUCUGUUUCCCCACAUGAGCUUACUACAAGAGGUGGAGAAACUCCCUUGGUGUUCUUCCCCACUCCUCCCUUCUAGAAACUAGUAUGUCGAAGUAGUUAAGAUAGUACCUUUGGUCCUGGGUACUAUUUAUUCUGAGAUAAGCAUCUCAAAAUAGCUGGACUCCUCUACCCAUUGUAGAACCCUUUUUGCUCCCCCUUUAGGCAACAGUACAGAUAAUUUUGGCAGUGUUUGGCUUAACUGACCAUUCCCAGCACUGUAUGAAUUGAGGUGUUAUCCAGAGCAGACUUACCUGUUCAACUUUCUCCUUCAUGUUCCUUGGUUUAUUGAUGCUCCUUGAUAGUUUGAUCACAUUGAUGGCAAUUGGUAGCUGAGUGUCCCUUGCUGGCAUAGAGUACCAGGGUUACGGCCCCAACUUGACUCUGGGGACUCUGGGCAAAGAAAAGCAUUGAGGAAGGCUCUGAGGAAUGGUGGGAAGUGAGAACUCUUUAACGCCCUCUUUAGUGAAACCCUGUUCCUACUACCCCACUUCUGUCUUCUGACCCCAGGUCUCAUCUCCUCCAACUUCUGGAAGCUGAUGGUGAAGGUUUGUUAGGGUUGUCAGGGAACAGUACAGAACCUAAGGAGUGUGUCCCACAAUGCUCAGGUGCAUCCCUUUGUGCUCUGGAGAUGGUCAGAAGGGUCUAGAUUUGCCUGCAAACCCCUCCUCUGGAGGAUUGCCAUAUACAGAGAAGGCUGCUCCUGACACGGCGCCUGUUUCUGGCAACAGAAGCAGAGAGGAGAUGAAACAGACUUCCUACUAUUUAGAGGAAGAGAAGUAUUCACCUUGGAGAAUGUACUGUGGGACUGUGUAUACAUGGGUGACAGAUCUGCAGGGUUUUCACCUAGAAAAUGAUUAACACAGUUACCCCAUCAGACUGAAUGUUAAUGAGAAAACUGAAUUGCCAGACCAAGGGCAAACUGCCUCUCAAGGUUGUUGUUUCCCCAUUGCGCAGUGUGCACUGAGACCAUGGGGAAGGGCUUGGCUACAUCGCUGUUAUGCUGUCCUAGAAUUACUCAGAACUCAGGCUUGUUGGCUCUGCCAUUAUAGCAAGAGAAGCCUCUGUGACAUUGCUGCCAUGUUCUCUGUGUUUCAAGGGCAUAGGGGAGCUAAUGUGCCCUGCCUCUGUAGCCGUCCCCCUUCCUAUCACAGGAAUUACCUUGGUUUGCUUCGUGAAUGCUAAGAUCCCACCACACCCAGACUGAUCUGUUUUAAGUUUUUUAUAACUUACAUUUGGACAAAUUUACAAUUUCAUAAAAUGAAGAUGCUUUUCUCUGUGAUAGUAGAAGAUUUCGUGCAGAAAGCACUCUAACACUUAGUGAAGCUGAGAAACUCAAGCAUUCAAUUUACUCUUUAAAUGUUUACUAAGGGGGCUGGAGAGAUGGCUCAGCAGUUUAGAGUACUGGCUGCAACUGGAUUCUAUUUCCAGCACCUGCAAGUUGGCUGGCAACCAUCUGUAACUCCAGUUCUAGGGGCUCUGAUGCCCUUCUCUGGCCUCUGCAGGCAACAGGCAUUCUUUUUAUUAUUAUUAUUAGAUAUUUUGUUCAUUUACAUUUCAAAUUCUAUCCUGAAAGUCCCCUAUACCCUCCCCCCACCCCGCUCCCCAACCCACACACUCCUGCCUCCUGGCCCUGGCAUUCUCCUGUACUGGGGCAUAUAAUCUUUGCAAGACCAAGGGCUUCUCCUCCCAGUGAUAGCCGACUAGGCCAUCUCCUGCUACAUAUGCAACUAGAGAUACAAGCUCUGGGAGGUGCUGGUUAGUUCAUAUUGUUGUUCCUCCUAUAGGGUUGCAGACCCCUUCAGCUCCUUGGGUACUUUCUCCAGCUCCUCCAUUGGGGUCCCUGUGCUCCAUCCAGUAGAUGACUGUGAACAUCCAUUUCUGUAUUUGCCAAGCACUGGCAUAGCCUCACAAGAGACAGCUGUAUCAGGGCCCUGUCAGCAAAAUCUUGCUCACAUAUGCAAUAGUGUCUGGGUUUAGUGGCUGUUUAUGGGAUGGAUCCCCGGGUAGGGCAGUCUCUGGAUAGUCCUUCCUUCUGUCUCAGCUCCAAACUUGGUCUCUAUAACUCCUUCCAUGGGUAUAUUGUUCCCCAUUCUAAGGAGGAACGAAGUACCCACACUUUGGUCUUCUUUCUUCUUGCGUUUCAUGUGUUUUGCAGAUUGUAUCUUCAGUAUUCUAAGUUUCUGGGCUAAUAUCAACUUAUAAGUAAGUACAUAUCGUGUGAGUUCUUUUGUGAUUGAGUUACCUCACUCAGGAAGAUAUCCUUCAGAUCCAUCCAUUUGCCUAAGAAUUUCCUAAAUUAAUUGUUUCUGUAAGGCAAAAGACACUGUCAAUAAGACAAAAAGGCCACCAACACAUUGGAAAAGGAUCUUUACCAAUCCUAAAUCUGAUAGGGGACUAAUAUCCAAUAUAUACAAAGAACUCAAGAAGCUGGACUCCAGAAAAUCAAAUAACCUCAUUAAAAAACGGGGUACAGAGCUAAAUAAAAAAAAUGGGAAUGGGUGGGUAGGGAAGUAGGGGGGGAGGGUAUGGCGGACUUUUAGGAUAGCAUUGGAAAUGUAAUUGAGGAAAAUAUGUAAUAAAAAUAUUUUUAAAAAAUCUAAUAAAAACUC